GGGGAUGUAGCUCAAUUGGUAGAGCAUUAUGCUAAGCAAAGCAAGAGGCACGAGGUUAAAUUCGUCGCACCUCCA
rnacentral:tRNA from 1 species